rnacentral:lncRNA from 1 species
AAACCUCUUUGAUCUAAAUAAUGUAGUCACAAUUUAUUAUAUUAGCAACUAAAAGAGCAUCUUCAGACGCAACCUUAGAGCUGAAAUGUCCUAUUUCUCCCAACAACCCUGGCCUGUUUUGUGGUUGUAAUAGUUGAAAGUUAGUUCAGGAGACCUGCCAAACACAUUUCCCUGCCUGUCCCUUUGAGUGCAACGAAGAGACCGCAUGCCAGGUAGAUAAUCUUAAUAUCCUCAGACUGGAAUUAACAGUGUGUCCUUAAAUGUCAUGUGUUGGUCAACCACUAGCGUCUUCCAAGAGGAGUGCAGUGCAAUGCUUCCUGAAAGAAGGCUGGCUGACACAGAAGGAAAAUUGCAUGGGCUGUCAAAGAGGGUACAACAUGAAUAUGUGACGUUGGAUGAUGUCAAACAUGCUGCACUGCUUUUGAAAGAAGCAAAUGAGUCACAUCCCAUGCUAUCAUUUGCAGCAGUUUCAAGGAAUGAGAUAAUAGACGAGUUCCUCAUGGCCCUGCUCUUCUACCUAUCUUUUUACCUCGAAAAGCUCGCCCUGGAAAAGAAACACAGAUCCUUGAUUUCGUGAGUACAAGUCUUUAGGGGUAUAAGUGCACAGAGCUUGCCCGAGCAAAUCUGGAAUCAGUCACCAAAUAAUUUGGCUUCUCAAGGUAAUGCUGCAAUUUGAAUAAAUCGUUACUGCUACCACCA